rnacentral:rRNA from 1 species
GAUGAACGCUGGCGGCGUGCCUAAUACAUGCAAGUCGAGCGAACGGACGAGAAGCUUGCUGCUCUGAUGUGAGCGGCGGACGGGUGAGCAACACGAGUAUAACGUACCUAUAAGAGGGGGAUAAUUUCGGGAAACCGGAGCUAAUAGCGGAGAAGAUUCUGAAGCGCAUGGGUCAAAGGUAAAAUACGGUGGUUGUGGCACGAAUAGAGGGAUCCGCGCUGCAUUAGCUAGUUGGUAAGGUAACGGCUUACCAAGGCAACGAGGCAUAGCCGACCUGAGAGGGUGAUCGGCCACACUGGAGCUGAGACACCGUCCAGACUACUACGGGAGGCAGCAGUAGGGAAUCUUCCGCAAUAGGCGAGAGUCUGACGGAGCGACGCCGCGUGAGUGAUGACGGUCUUCGGAUCGUAAAACUCUGUUAUUAGGGAAGAACAGAUGUGUAAGUAGCUGUGCACAUCUUGACGGUACCGAAUCAGAAAGCCACGGCUAACUACGUG